rnacentral:sRNA from 1 species
AUCUGAAGCUUCCGGACGAGGAUGUAGAGAACCUCCGGGGCAAGAGGUUCGACCCGAGCGAAGCGAGAACGUUGCGUCAGCAACGCACCCGCAGGGUUGUCACGCAGUAGCGAGUCAUCCUCUAUCACCGGCAG